CCAGGGUGUCCCUCCCCAGCACCCCGAUUUCGCGGGCGGUGCCCCCUCCUCGGAGUCGUUACACUGUCACCCCGUUGGCCUUGCCAGUUGUGUGUCCGGCUGUCGUCCCUCUGUCUGUCAAUCAGUGCGGAGCCCGAGUGAAUCCGCUUCACCCCCCAGCUGAAAGAAGACGCACUGUGAGUCUGGAGACGCUGGCAGCACACCACUAUAACCAGCAGAGGGUGCAGGUCAUGCAGCAGAAGGAAUACUGCAGCUGUUCUCAGGGUGGAGAUGUUGUGCAGCGGGUGUUGAGAGGGUACCUGGAACUGACGGGUGAAUCCUGCAUUGGAAUCAGCUGCUAGAGCCCUGCAGUGCUGCUGGAAGAGCUGCAGAGGGAC